UACGGAGGGGGCGAGCGUUGUUCGGAAUUAUUGGGCGUAAAGAGCACGUAGGCGGCGCGGUAAGUCCUGUGUGAAAGCCCUCGGCUCAACCGAGGACGUGCAUUGGAAACUGCCGUGCUUGAGUACGGGAGAGGAGAGUGGAAUUCCCGGUGUAGCGGUGAAAUGCGUAGAUAUCGGGAAGAACACCGGUGGCGAAAGCGGCUCUCUGGACCGUCACUGACGCUGAGGUGCGAAAGCUGGGGGAGCGAACGGG
rnacentral:misc_RNA from 1 species